GCCUUCGGCUCGGGGUAAAAGAACACACAGAGGGUACAUAAAAAGCCAUAUACCCCUCGUGAUGCUUCUACAACUUAUAUUAAUUCGACAUCGAAAAUAUUUCAAGGGAGGUAACUCUGACCCGCAACAGCGAAAAUGUAGAACUUCACAGCAGGGACACAUUUUGAUAAAAUUAAACGAAAUGUGUAGUCUCUGUGCGUCUAUGGAGAAACCUGAAAUGGAAACGGAGUGGGAGAGUACACGUGGCUAUGAGACAACUUUCAGUAGAUUCAAUUAUACUUCAAGCUUGAUGCUAUUAUGUUUUCUGUUUCCAACUGUGACAGAACCUGGAACAGAAAUGAAGUGUGUGACAAUAAUUCAUAGACAAAUUUAGACUAAUACUCUUACAUGGAUGCUAAAUUUGGUAGAUCUAGCCAUAAAUGUUUUAUUAUAAUUCAAAGUGGUAUAUAGUUAUAUUUAUAAUAAUUCAUUGUUUGAAUUUGUUUUUAUAAAGCACUUUAUUGAACUAAAAUAAUCAUAGCUGCAUUUAGUAAAUUAUUUAGCACACAUGUGUGACUGCUGUCUAAUGCCUUAAGUGUUUCAGCUGCUAAAAUAUGUUUUGGGGAUAUUUUUUCUGGAUAGAAAUUUACCUUUCUGAUAUUGUACGAGUGUUUGGACAUUCCUUUCAAAGGUGAAAUAUGGCUACUUAUAUUGCUUUGUUUCUAAUAAUGAUAUUGAAGGUGUAAAGUAUGUAAAUAUUUUUGUAAGAAAUUGAUUAAACAUAUUGGCCAAUCAUUGGCAUUCGUCGUGUGAUAAGUUUUUACUGGUUUGAGUUAAAAGACUGGUACAUAUGAUAAGUUUUAUUGCAUCUUUUAUUGAAAUCUUCAAGUAUUCAAUAUUAUUAUGAGUCUAGGUAAA